rnacentral:lncRNA from 1 species
AUGAAGUCUCGGCAGAAAGGAAAGAAGAAGGGCAGCUCAAAGGAGCGGGUGUUUGGGUGUGACUUGCAGGAGCACCUGCAGCACUCAGGCCAGGAGGUGCCCCAGGUGCUAAGGAGCUGUGCAGAGUUUGUGGAGGAGUAUGGCGUGGUGGACGGGAUCUACCGCCUCUCAGGGGUCUCUUCCAACAUCCAGAAGCUCCGGCAGGAAUUUGAGGCUGAACGGAAGCCAGACCUGCGGCGAGAUGUUUACCUUCAGGACAUUCACUGUGUCUCCUCCCUCUGCAAGGCCUACUUCAGGGAGCUGCCAGACCCCCUGCUCACUUACCGGCUCUAUGACAAGUUUGCUGAGGCUGUGGCAGUACAACUGGAACCUGAGCGCUUGGUCAAGAUCCUAGAGGUGCUUCAAGAACUUCCGGUCCCCAACUACAGGACCCUGGAGUUCCUCAUGAGGCACUUGGUGCACAUGGCCUCAUUCAGCGCCCAGACCAACAUGCACGCGCGCAACCUGGCCAUCGUGUGGGCCCCUAACCUGCUGAGGUCUAAGGACAUAGAGGCCUCAGGCUUCAAUGGGACGGCAGCUUUCAUGGAGGUGCGUGUGCAGUCCAUCGUCGUCGAGUUCAUCCUCACGCAUGUGGACCAGCUUUUUGGGGGUGCUGCACUCUCUGGUAGUGAAGUGGAAAGUGGAUGGCGAUCACUUGCAGGGGCCCGGGUGUCAGGCAGCCCUGAGGACCUUAUGCCACGGUCCCUGCCCUACAAUCUGCCUAGCAUCCUGCAGGCUGGUGACGGCCCCCCCCAGAUGCGGCCCUACCACACCAUCAUAGAGAUUGCAGAGCACAAGAGGAAGGGGUCUCUGAAGGUCAGGAAGUGGAGAUCCAUCUUCAACCUGGGUCGCUCUGGCCAUGAGACCAAACGCAAACUUCCACGGGGGGCUGAGGACAGGGAGGACAAAUCUGAUAAGGGGACUCUGCGGCCAGCCAAGAGCAUGGACUCACUGAGUGCUGUGGCUGGGGUUAGUGAUGAACCAGAGGGGCUGCUAGGAUCCAACAGUCCUCGGCCAGGCCCACUGCUGACGGAAAGCCUGGAGAAUGAGUCCGUGGAAGCGGCAGAGUGUGAGCAGGAGCCCGACCCAGAGGCGCUGGGUGGCACGAGCUCCGAGCCAGGCACACCACGACCUGGGCGGUCAGCAGUCCGUGCUGGGGGCAGCAGCCAUGCAGAGCGCCGUGCUGGCGUUCAUAUCUCAGAGCCCUACGAUGUCAACCUCCCAGCACACAUCAGCAACAUGCUCAACAUAUCCUCAAACAUCUUGGCGGGGCUUGCCCGUGGUCUUGAACGCCCUGCCCCACAGCCUCGGCCAAGCCCUGCCUCUGGCCCCGGUCCUGGCCCCGGCCUUGGCCCUGGCCCCCCAGAUGAGAAGUUGGAGGCAAGUCCAGCCCCAGGUCCCUCGGCUGACUCGUGCCCAGUGGACGUGGCCCCUGCCUUGGAGGACUGCCUGUCCCAGGAGGUGCAGGAUUCCUUCUCCUUCCUAGAGGACUCAAGCAGCUCAGAACCUGAGUGGGUGGGGGUGGAGGACGGGGAGGUGGCCAAGGCAGGACCAGCAGGAGCAGCCUUCUCCCCUGGGGAGGAAGACCCUGGGAUGGGCUACCUGGAGGAGCUCCUGGGAGUUGGGCCUCAGGUGGAGGAGUUCUCUGUGGAGCCGCCCCUGGAUGACCUGUCCCUGGAUGAGGCACAGUUUGUCCUGGCUCCCAGCUGCUGUUCCCUGGACUCUCCUGGCCCCAGGCCUGAAACAGAGGAGGAAAGCGGGGAGGAAGUCUUCCUGAGUGCCUAUGAUGACCUUAGUCCCCUUCUGGAGCCCAAACUCCCAAGCUGGGAGGGUCCAGGCAGUGAAGAGGAAAAGGUGGCAGGGUCUGGAAGACAGGAGGCUUCAGGACAGGAUGAGGGCGAGCAAGCCUCGUGUGAAGGUGGAGAGGACCAGGGGGAGCCUGGAAGCAGACGGGACACCGACGAGGAGGCUGAGGGGACCCCACAGCCACCUCGGCCAGAGGAGAUGGAUCCUGAGGGGCAGCCCAAUCCCCUUGGCUCAGCUGGUGGUGUGGGCAUGCGCCUGGCUUCCACCCUUGUUCAGGUCCAACAGGUCCGCUCUGUGCCCGUGGUGCCCCCCAAACCACAGUUUGCCAAGAUGCCCAGUGCAAUGUGUGGCAAGAUCCACGUGGCACCAGCAAACCCAUGCCCAAAACCUGGCCGGCUCGAUGGGGACAGGCCCUGGGGCUCCCGAGCCUCCCGCUCCUCUUGGAGGAAUGGGGGUAGUCUUUCCUUUGAUGCUGCUGUGGCCCUGGCCCGGGACCGCCAGAGGACUGAAGCUCAGGCAGUUCGGCGGACCCAGACUUGUACUGGUGCUGGGGACUACAGUCUCAUCCCCAAAACCUCCCCCUAUAGCUUGAUCCCUGCCUACACUCCCCGGCCCCUUAGCUGCCUGGAGAUCCCAGCUGAGGGCACAGAUGGGUCUGGACCCCGGAGUCGGUUUAGCCUGCCCCCCAGAGAACCCCAACCUCCUGAACCCCUUAUGUCCCCCCAGCGACGAUCGUAUGCAUUCGAAACACAGGCUAACUCUGGGAAAGGUGAGGGACUGUAA